rnacentral:rRNA from 1 species
UACGAAGGGGGCUAGCGUUGCUCGGAAUCACUGGGCGUAAAGCGCACGUAGGCGGAUUGUUAAGUCAGGGGUGAAAUCCUGGAGCUCAACUCCAGAACUGCCUUUGAUACUGGCGAUCUCGAGUCCGGGAGAGGUGAGUGGAACUGCGAGUGUAGAGGUGAAAUUCGUAGAUAUUCGCAAGAACACCAGUGGCGAAGGCGGCUCACUGGCCCGGUACUGACGCUGAGACGCGAAAGCGUGGGGAGCGAA